rnacentral:lncRNA from 1 species
UCUUUUUAUUUGUUGGAUUCUCAAUCAAGGUUUUCCAUUCUUUAAAAGCAUUAAAAGUGUCGGACUUAUGUUUAAGCAGAAAGAGCCAGUUUUUCCUAGAAAAAUCAUUUAUGAUUAAAAGAAAAAUUUUGAAACCAGUAUGUGUGGGCACAGAAGCUGGUCCCUAAAGAUUAGCAUACAAAUAUUCAAGAAUAGACACAGAUUUAUGCAUCCCAAGCAGAAAUGGUAAUCUAUUUUGCUUUCCUAGUAUGCAAUGAUCACAAAAACUGAGUUUCUCAAUCAUAUCUUUACCAAAGGCACCUUUUUUUUUUCAAAAUCUAAAGACCUUUGUCACUAAUAUGGCCCAAUCUUUUAUGCCAUAAUUGUAACUUAUCACUGGGAGCAGAAAUUGCUGCUGAUGUAGAGUCAAAAAAGUUGAGUAUGUAAAAUGUAAAGCCCAUGUCUCUUGGAGGCUUCAGCAACAAGUUGAAAGCCCCUCAAGAUCUUAAUGUAUCCUUUGUUAAUCACAAUAUUGUAGUUCAGGUCAUCUAGGACACCUAAGGAUAUCAAAUUUCUUUGUAGGUCAGGAACAUACCUAGUCUUCUCGAAGAUCAAUUCAUUAUUACCAUCCAACCUUAAGGUGAUUGCUCCUAUUCCUUUUACCUAACAAGACAUGUUAUUACCCAUUAACACUUGGCCUCCAUUUACAUUUUCAAACUCACUAAACCAUUCUCUUUUAGGACACAUGUGAAAUGUACAACCGGAGUCAAGGAUCCACUCCUGACUAGGUGGACUGUGUACAACAACAUAGACCUCAUCUAGGUUGGACUCAUUAUUAUAGGCUAAGGCAGCACUACCAUCAUUAUUAUACUUAUUCCUCAAAUCAUUAAGUCUCUUACGACAAUCUUUGAUAAAAUGACCUUCAAUUAGACAGUAAAAACACUUUUUACCCUUAGUCUUGGUUUUCAUUUUAUCUUUAAAGUUCACCUUCUUUUUAUGUUCGGGUUGCUUAUUGAAAUUGACAAUUUUUGA